CCCCACCCCGCCCCAGCAGGCACCUGGGUCCUGCCCGGGGACCUCAGACCUUCACUAUAUCUUGUAUCUUAUGUCUGCCUCACCCUACUUCCCCCAUCCACCCUUCGGUCUGAACAUCUCUGUUUAGCCCAAGUAGGGAUAAGGACACCGAGGUUUCAGACUCCAGGCCUGUGGAGUCUCAAGAGUGGAAAAACCAAGGAAGGAUGCUGGAGGCAGAGGCAGAUAGGGGUGUAGGAGACAGGAGAGCCUCCACCCCACUCCCCACCAGGUCAGGGUUCUUGAUACAAGCUCCUGGAGGCCUGGACCUUCUCUGCUGUAGACCAGACCUGGUCCAGUAGGAGGUACCAUCAUGAGAGUUGACAUCGGCUUAGUAUGGGAAAGAAAUGCGCACAUUGGCGUUGUUGGAAGAAGAAAAGGCACCUGAAAUCCCUCUUUUUCCACCCACCCACAAUGGAAAGGUCAUGUGAGGACACAGCAAGAAGGUGACAGUCUGCAAGCCAGGAAGAGAGGCUCCACCAGAAAGCAACCCUGCCCACCCUUGGAUCUUGGACUUGCAGCCUCCAGAAGUGUUUCAUCCCUCACUCCCUGCUGCUGACCUUGCUCCUUAUUUCACUAAUAGAGGCCACCAGGAGAGAAUUCCACAGCUCCUGCUAUCCAACCUGCCUGUCUGCCAGCAUCUGUCCACAGGCACUCUGUCUUCUCUCCCCGGUUGGCGGUGCCCUCACUCUGCUCCUGCAUUCUCCAAAUGGCACUGAUAUUCACUCGUUAGUGGAUAAUUGUUGUCAUGGUUUGGAGAUGCUGUAUUAUCUCCCAACCCCCAC